GAUUAAAAAAAAAUAAGAAGGGAGAAGAGAAGAUCCAGGAUAGAAAACUGUGGAACACCCAUGUUUAUCAGAACCCUGAACUGUCAGUUCCUCAAUCAAUUAACUGAUAAAAAAAGGUUCCAAGAUCCAUACUUACCAAUCUGUUACUGUGCUCAACUCAGGCUAUUAUAUUGUGAAGUCAUAGGAAACAGCUAGUGGUGAAUUAAGGAACCUGCGGGUGGCUGCUUGUCCCA
rnacentral:lncRNA from 1 species